rnacentral:miRNA from 1 species
AUCAUGCUGGCAGCUUCAACUGGU